GGAGCGGGAGGGGCGGGACCCCUGGUCAACAGACAGGGGCCUCAGCCAAUCAGGUGGCCAGGCCCAGAGAAGCUUCUGGAGCAGGCUGUAAGGGCCACAGCCAGAGCCCCCGGCGCUAUAAAGUGGAACUUUCAGGGAGGUUUUCCUGUGGUCGGUAGGCAGGGGGCUGGGGUGAGCUUAGGAGCACCAGCUAAGGAGACUUCUAAGGAAGGGGAAGACCUCACCUGUUCCUUGCAGCAGUGCUUAGUGUCUUGGAAAGGAAAUGCAAGGGAACAGGGGAUAAAGAAGGAGGCUUCCCCGAUCCCAGGGUAUACUACGGAUCCUGCUACAGCCUGCAGCGGUAUCACUGGCUCCAGGCUGUCAUCUCAGCUGAUCUCUUGCUCAGCCGUGUCAGAUCAGCAGAUGCAUUUGAACUAACUGCUUCUGCAGAGUCAUUUCUUCUUUAGCAGAGACUGCUCAGUAUCCUCUUUCUUCACACUCCGGCGACAGCCCAAUCCAGCCUGGAGUCCUCACAUGCUAUGCAUUGUAUGAGCACACAGUGAGAGACAGUUCCUGGCCUGAAACGUUUACAUCUAAAUAGAUGUGGCAGGUGAGAAGCGGAUAGCAGGGAACUUUCUUUUAUUGUAAAUGGGCACGUGAAUUGGUGAGAGAGGGGCAGUGAUUCAGCUCUAGGCAGGAAUUUUGCCCACUCCACGUGGUGGCUGAGCCGCUGCUCAGAGGUCAUGCUCCUCUUUGCAGCUCUUUAUUUCGUGGCUGUAAAAGCAUCCAUUUAAGUAUGAUUUUCUGCACAGAAGAAAAAUGUAAUAAGUGAAAAAAAAAAAGCCAUCUCUCCUAAGAACAGUAGUCCAUUUCUGUACCAUAAGCGAUGACUGUUCUUGUUCCAGUAAAAGCCAGACCUCCUCAUAACAUACCUUAUAACCUGUUAAUUAUAAUUUCCUUCUCUAACACUUGGAUCACACUACUAAAUAUUUUUAAAUAUCUAUAUAUGUGUUUUUAAGCUGCUGGGUUUGGGUUACACCUUUUCCAUAUGCCCAACCCACACAAUCCCAUCAACGCUUUCACACACCAGUCAAACACUCUAUAUUUGUGUGAAACGCACUGAAGAAAAAAAAAAUUCCUAUUACUACUACUACUAAUACAAAUUCAUUUCUCACAACUAUUAGUAUAUUUCUGAAUGCCAAUAAAUGAAUUUACUGCAAUUAGAUGUCUAAGUUUUUGUCAUGUUGAUUCAGGGAAGAUUUUUUUGAUUGAUAUUGCUAAUUACUCCAGUCCCAUCACCACAUGCCUUAUUUUUUCUUUUUGCUCAACAAAGUUUCCUUUACAAAACUUAAUCACUUUUUGUAUGAGCAAUCCCCUAAUGUAUUUUAUAUUCUGUUGUUACUAGGACUGAUAUUCUGAAAGUUGAUAUACAUUGCAACAGCAAGUGUUAAGAGGGACAAGUAGGGAACAAAAGCCCGUGAUGCAUGACAAAGUCUAAUAAUAGACAAUUUGUUCACCUGGCACUGCCUGCGUAAGUGUUUGGGAUGAGCUCAUUGUUAUUUGGUGAUGAGCUUUCUGCUGGUCGCAUGGAUGAAAAUCCAGGUUGUGAAAACAAAGGUUUGCUAAUAUUAGAACAGCGUUAAAUGGUGCAUGAUAGCACUGGGGAGGUUGCAGGGUGAGCUGCAGGGUUUAAAGCAGUGAAACACUUCCAUAACUAGAAAAGCAAUUGGUGAAGACACAGUUGCUUGUAUUCUUGCAGUAAAACUACAUGUGUAAAUGUUUUCAAGAACUUUAUAACUGGGCAAGCUGCUCAGAGCAGGUUUGCACUCAGAACUGCAUUUCUGUAGGAAAUGCCACAGGAUCCUAUUCCCGUUUACUCCUCUGAGCUGUGCACACAGUUGUUUGCCUGGAUCCCGUGGAGAUGAGGAUGAGGAGGCUGUAAUUGCCAUUGGAUCUUUCCUUAGGCAGACUGUGGAAACGAGCCCUAAGCCAGCAGUUGCAACUGGUGGGCCCCCUCUUGGCUUCAGUUGUACUAAAACUUUGUGUUUGCUUUGCAGAGUCAAGUUAUCCUGCUAGUGAAGUUGUUAAUCAAGUCUCCAUUCCUUAAGAUUAUGGGUGCAGUUCCCAGUAAACAGUAAUUUCAUGGUCUUUACAAUUGCCAUGUGUCAAUGACCUCAUCUCUAUGCAGUGUGUUGGGCUCACUUUCCAAACCAUAACUACUAGGACAUGUUUUAGAGCAAAAACAGUCUCAUUAAGGUUUAACUAUAGUGGAUUGACAGCUGUUUUGCUGUCAAGCAGGGCUUAUUUAACACUAUUGCUUUCCAUCAGCAUCAGAUUUGGUAUUGCAAACAUUUAGAACAAAGCUCAUCCAGGAGGAGGCCAACACAAUCCUGUACCACCAAAAAAAAAAAGUCCAAAUGGUAAUACUGAAUACUUCAACAAAUAAUUCACAAGUAGUCAGUGGCUUAAAAAAGUGCCUAAUACCUCACGCUUCAAAUAGUGAAUAUGCUGUAAACAUUUAGCAUCAGUUCAUUUAUUGCUUGGACACAGCGUUUGUACAGGGAUGGCCUUUGUGCCAGUGUGCAGGUCUGUUUGGCCUAUAUGUAUCACCGAAAAGUUGAGGACCAAAGAGUUAGUUUCUUCAUAUCAGUUGUUUUAGUUCUCUGUUCAUUCUUUUGUUUUAAAAUGUCAGCUGAAUUUAGCAUGUAAGUGUUUGGAUAUCUAAAGGGAGGCCAUGACACCAAGCACAGAUCAGAUUGCUUUCCCUUGCAGAACUCCUCCCUUUGCAUUCCAGCCUGACAAAGUUUUGUUACAGUUGCUCAGUACAUAGAUAACUAAAUGCUUUAAAUACUAAUUAAAAUAGAUGGUGUUUAACUGUUGGCCUAUGCCUUUUGUUUAUGAUGGAAGACAGCAGCGAAGCAAAAUCAUCUAUUAUCGUUAUCAGCAGAGUGUUUCUUUUUUUGUUUUCUUAGCCAAGCAAUACAUAUGUCCAGUCACUGACUUAGUUCUCGUAAACAGCCUUGUUUCCAACAGAAUCUCUUCCUCCACCUUUCAUAGCUUUUAAUUCACUCUGAAUCUACCUUAAA